rnacentral:lncRNA from 1 species
AAUCUAGCUACUUCCUGCUGAAUCGGGGCAUAGAUCUGGCUUAGAGGAAUGAAACUGUUUAGCACUCUCAUUUGGAAAUAUUCCCUUGUUCCAGGCUUCAUGUUGACGUUUUUGUAUUAUUAGAAUUUUGUAUCUUGCUCUACAUCUAAAAAGCACAAUUUAUAAUCAAGUAUCUGAUGAUAAGGAUAAGUAUAGACAAUCCAAAUUUUAACAGUCCGUCAAAAAUAGACCUAAUUCCAGUGGGGCCUCCAUCCUGACCUCCAGGUGGGGCAGACAUCUGGUCUCAGUUCCUGAUAGUCUUUUGUUUUAUUGGAUAUGCAUCAGAGACCAGAGCAAUGGCCUAUACCCUGGUCUUUCAGUUGUCAUUGAUAAUGGCCAUCAGCACAGACUCUCUGCCUGGGGGUCAUCACAUUCCUAAGUAAUUCAAAAGAACAAAGUUAUCAACUUAUAACAACUAAGAGGGUCCAUAAAAUCUACAGAGUAUGUCUGGGUUAGUUAAUCAGAAGUCAUUCAAAGUUACAAUAUGGUUUCUUUUUUACAAUAUGGCUUCCCUUAUGCCAACCUUGUGUUGACUGGUGUCAAUCCCACCUUUUGUUGUUCAUCUUCAAUCUUGAGGGAUUAUCCUGUUGAUGAGGGGCAUAGGUUGUUCCAUCUCAUUGAACCAGUCUCUUAGUAAGAUGGUGAUGCAGGUGGGCUCACAAAGUUGAGCCUUUCUGAACCCAGGCGGCAGCCAGACAAAAGAUUUCUAGGUGUCAGAGUGGAAGCAUCUUUUGCAGUUUGAAAUGUCUCUGAUGAUGUCACCACGUGUUCAGGUAUCUUACUGAGUGUCUUACACAGCAAUAGACAUGAAUCUCUCUUACGUUUAUAUCAAGUCGCCCAGCUUCAGUUUGAAAGUCUUCAGGAAAAAGGGCAGGUUCAGUUCUCAAUGAUUCCAAAUGAAACCAGGUUGCUGGAUUCCUUGUAAACAAGGACCAAGCCAAUAUUUCCAAGUGGCUUUAUUACAGGAAGUCAACCUUUAUUCCUCAAAAGCUGUCUUGUCAUAUCUGAGUCUGUAUGUUUCUCUCAAAUAUGACAUUCCAGUCAAAGCUUUGGUAAGAUAACCAACGUUUCCAACUGUGUCCU